UGUAUUUUUAGUAGAGACGGGGUUUCACCGUGUUAGCCAGGAUGGUCUCGAUCUCCUGACCUCGUGAUCCGCCCGCCUCGGCCUCCCAAAGUGAGAAUGUCUUGCUUGUGAUUAAAUACCAUUGAGGGAAGUCCUUCUUAAAAAUUUAUGCAUGCACGUGUGCCUGUGUGCACAUGUGCAGACACAUACACACACACAUAUGCACACAAGCACACCAGUAUAUAGGGUGUUUAUCCAAUGAUGACUAAAAAAUGAGAAUGCUCAGACUGACUGUUUUGGACUGAAGAGACUAUCUGGAAGUCAGAGAUGAGAGGAGAUCCAAAAAUUGUACAACUUCUCUAUGAGAUUAGAAUACUAGAGUCAUCAGUGUGAAGGCAUAGCCUCUAGGGUCUCACUAGCCCAACACCUCUGCAUUAUCAGAGUUAUUCUAUAACUGAAAUGCCAAAGGAGAGCCAAUUCCUCUCCAGUGGAAGAUUCUCCUGCAGGUGAGUAUAGGAAGGGUAACUGUUACCACUCAGACAUCAUUUGAUCACCCAAUGACAUUUCCUCCAAUGGCCAGGCCACCCAACAGUAGGUAUGUCUUUAUUAAAUUGAUAGCGUUCCCCACCUUUUAACUACCCACAUAAUGAGCAAAUAGAAUACCAAUCCAAGCCAGGUCUUUUCUUCUUCUCUCUUUUCUCUUUCUCCUUCAAUUCUCUCUUCUCUGUUCUAGGUUUCUUCCAAAUUUAUUGUUUGUCAUUUGUUUUUCCCUGUGAUUUCCAUGUUUGAUGUUUUUUCAAGUAUCUGAUCAUCUUUGACUCCUUGCUUUUAUAUAAGUGGGUCUGUUAAAAGUAGAUUAGACUCUCCUUAUGCUUGGGUGGGAUUUAUUGAUUCUGAGCUUCACUGAAAUAUUCUCAUUUGCGGGACAAUCCCCUAUCUCAGUUUCGUUAAGUCUUUUAUUCUUAGGAUGAUGAGAUACUAUCAUGCAAAAUUAUUUUAUUCUCCUACCUGAAUUAUUUAGCCUUUGCUUCUAGCAUUCUAUGUCAUUUGAGCAAUGACGUAGAGUCAGCAUAUUCACUACGUAAAUUUCCAUUUUAUCCCCAUGUUGAGUAUUUAACUUGUACUUUCCAUUCUUCCCUCUGAACUCCACUAUAGAGACCUUCUGUUUAUGCUCUUUAGAUAAUAAAUCUCCAAAACUGAGAGAAUAAGAGGGGAAGUCAUUCAGGUUUCUGAGUAGAGAGAGAAAAUGAGUCCAAAUGCUUUGCAAACAGACCUUGAAAUAAUCCUCCUAUUAUUUUCCAUACCUGUGUUCAUUUAUGCCUUUAAAAAGUGCUAACCUGUACCAAUUCCCAGGCCUUUUGGGGUGUCUAUGAGGUAAACAAUUUGACUUUACCCAUUAUUAAGUUAGGAUUUAACUUUCCUGCACACGCUAAUUCCAUCGCGCUCGUUAUCUUCUUUCUGAUUUCCAAUUUUUUUUCUAUUCUCUCUUCUUAUACAGGACUGUCUUUGUCAAAAUAAGCAUCCAAAAAAUCCUUUUCUCUCACUUUUGUGUGGUUUCUUGAGGGAACUGACAUAAACGUGUCCGUUCAAAUGUGUCUGUCAAACCACCAUUUUAAACCAAAAGUCUCAAUCUGACUUUUCUUCGGAAAGAAUUCCCACAACAUUGGCAAACACAUCAGCGUUUUAAGCUCAGAGAAAUGGUGGGACUACAGUCAUGCAUUUCCCACAGUGUCAAGUUAUGACAUCAGAAAAUAUGAUCAAUUCAAAGAUGCUCUUGUCUGUUAUCCUGUAAUAUUUCCCAGAAGCCUUAGUUAAUAUAGAGUUCAUGGAUCUUUUCAUACCAGAAAGUGUAAUCUCAGAGGGGAGAUGCUUGAGUUACAGGAAUAGUGAUUAAAUCCUGUGCCAUACACUAUCACUAUCUUGAAAAUUGAAAUUAUGAGGCACCAGCUGUUGGCUCUAUUUCUCAUAAAUGCAAAAGUGCACAUUAAUGUCCCUGGAAUAUAAAAUGCUACAUGAUGCAGGGCAGAAAUGUCAGUGAAUAUAUAUGCAUGAUUUUUAAUCUUUUUCAUUCAGUGCAGACACUUCCUCUGAAGUACAUUUGACAUUAUUUCUUAAAUAACUUCAUGUUGUGGUCAGUAUAAAUGCUUUGAAGUUGAACGUUCUAGAUAGAUUUUAAAUAUUUUGUUAUUAUAAUAGGAUUUCUUACCACAGGACUAAAAAGUGAAACUGGGGUCUAGCUGUGUGAUCUUUACAAUUCUGCUCAAUCCCAGCAAAUAGCUAUUAUUUCUAUAGAAAAAUAUUCUCAGAAUUUUGUUUCAGCAUUUAAAACAACAUCUGUUUGAACUUUUUAAAUUUUCAUUUUAAAUUGAUUCUUCUGACUUCGUGAAAACAACAAACCACAUCUGUCCAAUCUUCAGUCUCCAGGAGUCAAAUCUUCAAAUUAUACUUUUUUCCACCUUUAUUAAUAUUAUCCUGAAGGUACAUAUGAGGUGUUCUGAAUCAAGACACAUUAUCGUUGUUUACAAGGGAUGUGAAGGACCUCUUCAAGGAGAACUACAGACCACUGCUCAAUGAAAUAAAAGAGGACACAAACAAAUGGAAGAACAUUC
rnacentral:lncRNA from 1 species